rnacentral:rRNA from 1 species
CAGAGACUGCAAGCGUUAUUCGGAUUCACUGGGCGUAAAGGGUGCGCAGGCGGCCAUGUGUGUCAGGUGUGAAAUCCCGGGGCUUAACCCCGGAACUGCGCCUGAAACUACAUGGCUAGAGUAUUGGAGAGGGUAGCGGAAUUCACGGUGUAGCAGUGAAAUGCGUAGAUAUCGUGAGGAACACCAGAGGCGAAGGCGGCUACCUGGACAAUUACUGACGCUCAGGCACGAAAGCGUGGGGAGCAAAAGGGAUUAGAUACCCCUGUAGUCCACGCCCUAAACGGUGCACACUAGGUCUUGGCGGAUUCGACCCCACCAGGGCCCAAGCUAACGCGUUAAGUGUGCCGCCUGAGGACUACGGCCGCAAAGGCUAA